AUUGAACGCUGGCGGCAUGCCUAACACAUGCAAGUCGAACGGAGCGGCGGACGGGUGAGUAAUGACUAGGAAUCUGCCUGUUGGUGGGGGAUAACUUCCGGAAACGGGCGCUUAUACCGCAUACUAUCAGAUGAGCCUAGGGCGGAUUAGUUAGUGGGUGGGGUAAAGGCCUACCAAGGCGACGAUGCGGAGCUGGUCUGAGAGGAUGAUCAGUCACACUGGAACUGAGACACGGUCCAGACUCCUACGGGAGGCAGCAGUGGGGAAUAUUGGACAAGGGGCGAAAGCCUGAUCCAGCCAUGCCGCGUGUGUGAAGAAGGUCUUCGGAUUGUAAAGCACUUUAAGUUGGGAGGCGUUACCAACAGAAUAAGCACCGGCUAACUUCGUGCCAGCAGCCGCGGUAAUUC
rnacentral:rRNA from 1 species